rnacentral:rRNA from 1 species
CCUACGGGUGGCAGCAGUGGGGAAUAUUGCGCAAUGGGCGAAAGCCUGACGCAGCGACGCAGCGUGCGGGAUGAAGGUCUUCGGAUCGUAAACCUCUGUCAGCAGGGAAGAACGGUCACUGUGCUAAUCAGCAGUGAAUUGACGGUACCUGCAAAGGAAGCCCCGGCUAACUCCGUGCCAGCAGCCGCGGUAAUACGGAGGGUGCGAGCGUUAAUCGGAAUUACUGGGCGUAAAGCGCUCGUAGGCGGUAUGUCAAGUCAAGGGUGAAAUCCCCGCGCUCAACGUGGGAACUGCCUUUGAAACUGGCAAACUGGAGUGUGUGAGAGGAUAGUGGAAUUCCAGGUGUAGGAGUGAAAUGCGUAGAUAUCUGGAGGAACAUCAGUGGCGAAGGCGACUAUCUGGCACAUAACUGACGCUGAGGAGCGAAAGCGUGGGUAGCAAACAGGAUUAGAUACCCUGGUAGUC